AUUGAACGCUGGCGGCAUGCCUUACACAUGCAAGCCGAACGGCAGCACGGGAGCAAUCCUGGUGGCGAGUGGCGAACGGGUGAGUAAAGUAUCGGAACGUGCCCAGUCGUGGGGGAUAACGUAGCGAAAGUUACGCUAAUACCGCAUACGAUCUAUGGAUGAAAGCGGGGGAUCGCAAGACCUCGCGCGAUUGGAGCGGCCGAUAUCGGAUUAGGUAGUUGGUGGGGUAAAGGCUCACCAAGCCGACGAUCUGUAGCUGGUCUGAGAGGACGACCAGCCACACUGGGACGGAGACACGGCCCAGACUCCUACGGGAGGCAGCAGUGGGGAAUUUUGGACAAUGGGCGAAAGCCUGAUCCAGCCAUGCCGCGUGCAGGAUGAAGGCCUUCGGGUUGUAAACUGCUUUUGUACGGAACGAAAAGGUUUGGCCUAAUAAGCUGAGCUCAUGACGGUACCGUAAGAAUAAGCACCGGCUAACUACGUGCCAGCCGCCGCCGUAA
rnacentral:rRNA from 1 species